GGGAUCUUGUUAAAAUGCAGACUUUGAUUCAGCAAGUCUGGGAUUUGUCCUGAGAUUCUGCAUUUCUAACAAGUUC
rnacentral:miRNA from 1 species